GACAAACGCUGGCGGCGUGCCUAAUACAUGCAAGUCGAGCGAGAAAGGGGCUUCGGCUCCGAGUAAAGCGGCGAACGGGUGAGUAACACGUGGGCAACCUGCCUCGAGGACUGGGAUAACCCCGGGAAACCGGGGCUAAUACCGGACGAUGUCGUCUCUCGCAAGUGAGCCGACCAAAGGUAGCUUCGGCCUCCGCCUUGAGAUGGGCCCGCGUCCUAUCAGCUUGUUGGUGAGGUAAUGGCUCACCAAGGCUACGACGGGUAGCUGGUCUGAGAGGAUGAUCAGCCACACUGGGACUGAGAUACGGCCCAGACUCCUACGGGAGGCAGCAGUAGGGAAUCUUGCGCAAUGGGCGAAAGCCUGACGCAGCAACGCCGCGUGAGCGAAGAAGGCCUUCGGGUUGUAAAGCUCUGUCAGGGGGAAAGAAGGCACCUGGGUUAAUAGCCCAAGGGUUGACGGUACCCCCAAAGGAAGCCACGGCUAACUACGUG
rnacentral:rRNA from 1 species